UUCUUAAAGGGAAAAAUUUUAAGUAUCUUCUGCUCAAUGAGAUUAAAUAGCUGCGUUUGCACUAAGGUAGCAUAAUAAAUUGUCUUUUAAUUGAGGACUGGAAUGAAUGAAGGAAUGGGGAAAAUUUUUCUUAAAAUUAAGAAGUUGAACUUAAAUUUUUAGUUAAAAUGCUAAAAUGUUGUUUAGGGACAAGAAGNCCCUAUGAAGCUUUNNNNNNNNNNNNNNNNNNNNUUUAUUUAGUUGGGGCAACACUCUAARAAUUAAGUUUAGAGAUAAAAUAGAUUAKUUUUUAUAAUUUUGAUCCAUGAUUUGUGAUUAGUUGAAUAAGUUACUCUAGGGAUAACAGCAUUAUUUAAAUUGGAAAGUUCAAAUUGAUAAUUUAGUUUAUGACCUCGAUGUUGAAUUAAUAGGGCUUUUAGGUGAAGAAAUUUUAAAAGUUAGUCUGUUCGACUAUUAAAUUAUUACA
rnacentral:rRNA from 1 species